CGGAUGUAGCCAAGUGGAUUAAGGCAG
rnacentral:tRNA from 1 species